UCCCUGGUGGUCUAGUGGCUAAGAUUCUAUGCUUUCAGUGCAGGGGGCCAGGGUUUGAUCCCCGGUUAGGGAA
rfam:Ovis aries breed Texel unplaced genomic scaffold TnplacedScaffold_004080458.1, whole genome shotgun sequence.